rnacentral:misc_RNA from 1 species
GCCUUUUCGAGCCAAAAGUGUGAAGCGCCUACGCGGGGAAAUCAGUCCACUGGACUGAUUUCUGAUCCCGCUUCGAUGCGUCGGAUAAUGCGACAAAACAACGAGAUAGAGUGGCUUCGGCGGUUCCGUUUUGACCGGAGCCGCUCUCGCUGCA